rnacentral:rRNA from 1 species
UAACGCGUUAAGCACCCCGCCUGGGGAGUACGGUCGCAAGGCUGAAACUCAAAGAAAUUGACGGGGGCCCGCACAAGCGGUGGAGUAUGUGGUUUAAUUCGAUGCAACGCGAAGAACCUUACCCAGGCUUGACAUCUGAGGGACUCUUAAGAGAUUAAGAGGUGCCUUUCGGGGAGCCUCAAGACAGGUGCUGCAUGGCUGUCGUCAGCUCGUGCCGUGAGGUGUUGGGUUAAGUCCCGCAACGAGCGCAACCCU